CCUCUCAGGACCCUGAGCCUCCUCCAAUGGGACUGGGAGCAAUGACCCCCACCCAUGUGUGAUUCUCCUGCACUGUGACCCCUCCAGUCACAUGGAGAAGCUGCAUGGAUGCAUGUCCUCCCUCAGUCAAAGAGGAACACGGGUCAUAUCUUCCUUCACCUUGUGACCAUAACCAUCACCCACCUAGAGAGCCAUCACCAGUCCAGAAUGAUGUAGGGAACAGUCAUCGGGAAGGAGACCACAUAUGUCAUGAGUGACUCCAUUCACAAGAGCAAAAGGGAAGAAGGAGCAAGACUGUCCCCAGAUCUCAUGGUGGUGCCUAGGAGGCUGUGCUGUCAUAUUUCCUUCAUGAUUUAGUGCCCAAUUGCGACCUAAAAUGCACAUAAGAAAACCACUUGCUACCCAGGUGUAGCUCAGAGAAAAGAUCCUGCAUUCACUUAUAGGACGUGGUGCCCACCAUGCCACCUCCACACCACGUGGGAUUCCAGAACUCCCACCUAUUUCUACUCUGCACACAUGAGAACCAAGAACUACACAGUCAGCAUGAAUAAGGUCCCUGUUCUGGUGACCAAAUGUCAGAGAGGGCAACUAUGGACAGAAUCCUUGUGAUGGGAAGAAGAACUGGGGGUGUCCUGAGAGGAGUGAGGAGGAGGUCCCUCAAAUCAGAAAACUAAGCUUGAGAGUCGAGAUAAAUCAUCUCCAUCACAGCAGCUUAGCAGGAUCCCCGCCAUCCUAGCACUGGAAGAAAGCAUUCAGAGCAGGCACCAUGAGGAUCCCCAGUUCUGGACAGUAGGAAGUGCUCCCAUUCAUCCAGGUCCUCUCUCUUACAUCUGAAAUGUCCUAACGCAUGACAACAAACAAGCAUAGGAAGACAUCAGGAGGUAGAAGAAGGAAGAAGGAAGAGUUCAAACAAAUUGAGGGAAACACAACAGUGCAUACCCUGGUUCUUUUUCUUGUAUGAUGUCCCCCACAGGUAAGACAAGAUGCUGUAGGUUCCUCCAACCAAGAAUAAUCCAGAGCCUGAGAUCCAGAAAAUCAAACCAAAAAACACGAAAACUCCAAAAGCAGCAACUCCUCUGGUCAGAAGAUAUGGAGAUAAUUUGUUCUGAAUGGAGGAAAUAUUUGGAUAAACCUGCCCAACACUUGCACACACUAAUGAAUCCCCAAACUGUGCCCUCAUGCAGGGUUCACAUUAUUGCUCAUCAGAGACAUGGUGUCCCUAUCCUCCUGGCAGAAGCAAGCAGUGCCCCAAAGCCCACCCGCCAUGGUGUCAGCUACUCAGGAGAUAGCUGAGCCUCCAUUGCAUGGGAACAUUAACAAUUCUGGACAAGGCAGGCCUAGUUGGUAGUUUGCACUCCAGUAUUUCCCACCCAUGAUUUUGGCAGGUCCUGGGGAGCCCAUCUGAACCUCAUUGAGCAGUGGAGAGAAUGAAUGCAGUGCACAAGGCAAAGCUGGUUUGUUGUCAUAUACCCAUUCCUGGUAACUGUCUGAACACUGGGGAACUGAGCCUGUGCUCUCCCUGAGCAUAAAAUCACUGAACUUUGAUGCAGGAAGCAAAGGAGCUGGACCUGCAUUUGACCCUCCGCUCCCUGGUGUCAGUGGGGACAAGGAAUGCAGUGGGGAGCAGAGGAUCCACUCCCUGAAGGAAAGCAGCUCCAUUCAGUCCUGUGCAUCCCACCAUGGUGUUGGCAGGCCCCACCAAAGAGCUUGUCCCACACCCCCACCUGAUGGGAGCUGGGAAGUGGCAAUCACUGCCCCACCUUCUCCAGCAGAGAGUAAGCAGCAGAAUGCUAAGCAUUUUCACUUGAGUCACCUGGAAGCUGACACAAACACCCUUCACCUGCUGCUGCACCUCAGCAGGAGGAUCAUUUGUUUGAAGAAAAAUAACUGAGGACUAAGCAUCUCAUUAUAUAAUAACCAUAAUAUCCAGGGUCCAAUAAAAAAUACGAUAUGUCAAGAACCAGUAAAAUAAAAUCCUGAAUGAGAAAGGCGAAUCGACUGACACCAACACUGAGGUUACUCACAUGCUGUAAUUAUUGGACAGGUAGUUUUAGGCAACUAUCAUAAAAUCCAUGUGGUGUAAAAUUACACUCUUCAAACAAAUGGAAAAAAUAGAAAUGCAGAAAUGAAAGAGAAAUCAUCAAAACAAACCAAAUGGUAAUUUUGCAACUGAAAAAGGUCCAGAAGUCAUUGACGGAAAGGAAGCUCUCCAGAGGGACUCAAGAGUAGGUGACACUUCUUAUUUGUUUGUUUUCUGGCUUAUUUGUUGAAACCAAAAAUGGGCUCCAUUCCUUCUGCGCAGUUCCCACCAUCUUGACUGAUUCUGAGGCUGUCAGCAGGGGGCUCUGUGCACCUGCUCAGAGCUGGCCAGGCCUGAAACCCACUGAAAUGGUUCCACAUGCCUGGGCCCUGCCCUGGUGCUCACUGCCAGAGGGAGAGAUGACAGCAGCUGUCUCCUCCCAGGGGACAAACCCAUAGCUCUCACCAACCCCAGAACUCCUCCCUGGAUGGAAGCUCCUAGCUAGGCUGAGGAUCCAGAAUCAUAUGGCAUUGUGGGCUCCUAUUUGCAUAACAUAUCACCAAGCAUGCCCUUCAACCCUGGAGCUGAGGAGGAGAUAAAGGAAACACCCCAAAUACAAAUCAAAGUUAAACUGAGGGGAUCCCUGGGUGGCUCAGUGGUUUAGCGCCUGCCUUUGGCGUAGGGCGCGAUCCUGGAGUCCCGGGAUCAAGUCCCGCAUCAGGCUCCCGGCAUGGAGCCUGCUUCUCCCUCCUCCUGUGUCUCUGCCUCUCUCUCUCUCUCUCUAUCAUAAAUAAUUAAAUAAAUAAAUAAAUGAAUGAAUAAAUAAAUAAAGAAAUCUUAAAAAAAAAGUUAAACUGAGAUAUGACCUCCCACCAAUCAUAACAGCUAACAGACACAACAUAGGAAACAGCAAGUGUGGGCAAUGAUGCGGAGCAAAAGGAACCCUCUUGCACUUAUGAUGGGUGUAAAACUUGUGAGCUCCUUUGGAAAACAGUCUAGAGGAUACUCAAUACAUUAAAAAUAGAAAUACUCUAUGAUUCAGGGAUCCCU